rnacentral:tRNA from 1 species
GGGGGUGUAGCUCAGCUGGGAGAGCACCUGCUUUGCAAGCAGGGGGUCAGCGGUUCGAACCCGCUCAUCUCCA